rnacentral:lncRNA from 1 species
UCCGAAUUUUAACCACAAAUAUUGGUAUGACAACUUGGACAAGGCUCCUCUAGAAUAAUUAUUAAAUAUUUAAAGAAUCUAAUGGUUGGACGUAUACUCACACCCAAGACAUGAAGCCAAAGUCCAUGUAACAACUAAUUGAUGUGGCUGUUUGAUGCUUGGAAAUACAGGCUUGAGGUCUUAUACGAAGAGCAAAAAGAAAAAAAAGUUUCCUUUCAUGGUCUUGAAUACCCUACAUUUCAUAAGGAUGGGAGAUUACUUUUAUUGUGCUAUCCUCUGUAUCUUAAGAAGCUUGUCUCAGUUGGAAAUGUGGGCCAAAUGUGCAAAUGAAUCGAGUCCUGCCAAGUAGCAAGCUACUCAAAC